rnacentral:sRNA from 1 species
AAAAUACGAUACUGGCCACUUGUAAGAUUUAGAGUGAUUGUCGUAAUAAUCUUCCAAACACCCUCGAUUAAGCACCUUUCAAACUUCUUGAUAUGCUCUCUUCUCACAGCAGCAUACAUCUUAUCACCAUAUAUGACAAAAUAAUUUAAAUAAUAAUUAGUAAAUGAAAAUGAUGCUUGAACACACUAUU